CCAGCCUGCGUGGCCGCGAGUCCCGGAUUUAAAGGGGACGCGGGGGUGGCGGGGCUGGCCUAGGGGGCUGGGCCUGUCAGUCCCCGGACUCUCCUGCGCGCGGCGGCCGGAACCAGUGGUCCAUCGAGGGAGCUGCAUGCCUGCUGUUUUCAAGAUCCUCUUCUCGCAGACUGCCAGGACACUAAGCAGAAGGGAAGGACUUUGCUUGCCCCAGAGACAGGCUUGUCUAUUGAGAUUUGAAAGUUGCCUUCUGGGUCUCCCUGUGGCCAACCCAUUUACUUGGUACCACUUGCUAGUAAGAAAUAAGUCUCUCCUUUCUGCCAGCAGAAGCCGGGGAGCUUGUGCUAAAGACUUUGCUGUUCCUUCAGCUUUGCAUGUUUGGCAUCGUAGGCGCUGCACAGUCCCUGAUGAGAUGGCGGAGCAGAGGUACUGCGUGGACUAUGCCAAGCGCGGCACAGCCGGCUGUAAGAAAUGUAAGGAGAAGAUCUUGAAGGGGAUGGUGCGCAUUGGGAAGGUGGUCCCCAACCCCUUCACAGAGUCGGGCGGGGAGAUGAAGGAGUGGUACCAUGUGAAGUGCAUUUUUGAGAAGCUAGAGAAGGCUCGGGCCACAACAAAGAAGAUUGAGGACAUCACAGACUUGGAGGGUUGGGAAGAGCUCCAGGAUCCGGAGAAAGAUAUGAUAAACCAGCAUAUCUCAGAGGCCACUUCCAAGGCGGCGAACACACCUAAGAAAAAGGCGACUAUCCAGGCGAAGCUCUCCCCCAGUGGACAGAUAACCAGUCCCAAGAAGGAGCUACUAGCUACCCCCAAUCCAUCACCAAAGAAAUUCUCUGGAUUCACAGCUAAACCGGGCAAUUCUGAUGAAGCCCCUGAAAGCUCUCCCCACAAGUCUAGCCUCUCUGCAAAGAAGUGUGACCCAAAGCACAAAGAUUGCUUGCUGCGGGAGUUCAGAAAGUUGUGCGCCAUGGUUGCCGAGAAGCCCAGCUAUAACGUGAAGACGCAGAUCAUUCAGGACUUCUUGCAAAAAGGAACUGCGGGAGAUGGCUUCCAUGGUGACCUCUACCUGACUAUUAAGCUGCUAUUACCAGGUGUCAUUAAAAGUGUUUACAACUUGAAUGACAAGCAGAUUGUCAAGCUGUUCAGCAGGAUUUUCAAUUGCAGCCAGGAGGAGAUGGUCCGAGACCUAGAGCAGGGAGAUGUUUCCGAAACUGUGCGCAUCUUUUUUGAAGAGAGCAAGUCCUGCCCUCCUGCUGCCAAAAGUCUCCUUACCAUCCAGGAGGUGGAUGAGUUCCUCACUCAACUUUCAAAGCUUUCCAAGGAGGACGAGCAGCAAAGUGUGCUGCAGGAUAUCACUAGCAGGUGCACAGGGAAUGACCUAAAAUGCAUCAUCCGGCUAAUAAAGCAUGAUCUGAAAAUGAAUGCUGGUGCAAAGCACGUGUUGGAUGCUUUAGAUCCUAAUGCUUAUGAGGCAUUCAAAGCCUCACGCAAUCUCCAGAAUGUGGUGGAGCGAGUGCUGAGGAACCAGCAGGAGACUGAGAAGUUGCCAGGUCUGAAGCGAACCCUCAGCGUACAGGCCUCACUGAUGACCCCUGUUCAGCCCAUGCUGGCUGAAGCCUGCAAGUCAAUCGAAUACGCCAUGAAGAAGUGCCCCAAUGGGAUGUAUGCAGAGAUCAAAUACGAUGGGGAACGAGUUCAGGUCCACAAGAAUGGAGAUCACUUCAGCUACUUCAGCCGAAGCCUCAAACCCGUCCUCCCUCACAAAGUAGCCCAUUUUAAGGACUUCAUCCCCCAGGCUUUCCCUGGUGGACAUAGUAUGAUCCUGGAUGCAGAAGUUCUUCUGAUUGACAACAAAGCUGGCAAACCGCUCCCCUUCGGGACCCUUGGAGUGCAUAAGAAAGCUGCUUUCCAGGAUGCCAAUGUCUGCUUGUUCGUGUUUGACUGCAUCUAUUUCAAUGAGACCAGCCUGAUGGACAGGCCCCUGCGUGAGCGUCGAAAGUUUCUCCAUGAUAACAUGGUGGAAAUCCCCAACCGGAUACUCUUCUCCGAGAUGAAGCAUGUCACAAAAGCUUCAGAUCUGGCAGAUAUGAUCAAUCGAGUCAUCCGCGAGGGGCUGGAAGGACUGGUGCUGAAAGAUAUAAAGAGUACGUAUGAGCCCGGUAAACGUCACUGGCUAAAAGUGAAAAAGGACUAUCUGAAUGAAGGUGCCAUGGCUGACACGGCAGACCUGGUGGUUCUGGGAGCUUUCUAUGGACAAGGCAGUAAAGGUGGGAUGAUGUCCAUUUUCCUCAUGGGCUGCUAUGACCCCAAGAGCCAGAAAUGGUGCACGGUGACAAAGUGCGCUGGCGGGCACGAUGAUGCCACCCUGGCGCGGCUGCAGAAGGAGCUGGACAUGGUGAAGAUCAGCAAGGAUCCCAGUAAAAUUCCAAGCUGGCUGAAAAUUAACAAGAUCUAUUAUCCAGACUUCAUUGUUCCAGACCCAAAGAAAGCCCCAGUGUGGGAGAUCACAGGUGCUGAGUUCUCUAAAGCAGAAGCCCACACUGCAGAUGGGAUCUCCAUCCGCUUCCCUCGCUGCACCCGGAUCCGAGAUGACAAAGACUGGAAGACGGCCACCAACCUCCCUCAGCUCAAGGAGCUGUACCAGCUCUCCAAGGAGAAGUCCGAUUUCAAUAUCGUUGUAGCAGAGGAGGAGGGGUCCACAGCCAGCAGCAGUGGCGAGAAUGAGGGAAAUUCGAGGUCUUCCACACCCCACAAAAUUGCUAAGACCCCCCCAAGCAAGUCUCCUGCAAAAGCCAAGAAGCCAGAAGGCAGCAAAGCAGUUGGUCGGUCCCCCCAGAAGAAGGCGGAGGAGAAGCGAGGGGAGAAACGGAAAGCAGCUGAGCUGGAUGACAACAGAAAGAAGAGCAGACAUGGAGAGAGAACCAGCAGGAGAGCUGGGCACCCAGGAAGGUGCUAGCAGAUCAGCAUGGUAGAAGAGCUAGAGCUUUUUCCAGCCACCCUCGUAGAGCAGCUCGUUAGCUAGUCAUUAAAGACUGAAGGAAACUGACUGGAUUUUUCUGUUGCGAAAGAGCCCGCCGAUGUGUUGCACUGCAGCUGGGUUUGCAGAAAAUUACUGAGGCUUCUGGUAGAUGCAGUGAGCAGGCACGUUGGCUCAUUCAGGAGCUUGGCUCUCUUCCAGGUGGUGUCCGUUACGCAGUGUGCAUUCUCUGUCCGCCUCUGCCCUCCAUCCUGAGCAAAGCAGUGAUGACUCAGUAUUUGCCCACUGGAUCGGUUGUAAGCCAGUCUGAGAACCGGAGUUCAGUGAAAUGUAAAAGCAGAAAUGGUAGCAGCAAGCUCCUCCGACCGAGCCUCUGUCUCCUCCCCCUCCUUUCACACUGAGUACAGAGUGGCUGAGAUAACGGGGCUUGUCAUCCCGGAGCAGCUCGGGGCCCAUCGUCCUGACUCCAGCAGCGGGCUGGACUAGAUGCCGUGACGGAGGGCACGGCUACUCUUAUUGCACCUGGUCGUUGGUGCAGUGCUGUGUGUGGAAGCAGUCGGUGUGCAGAGGGGAGGAAUUGUCUGUCCUGAUCCCAGCUGGGGAUCACAUUAUGUCCUGCAGUAUGAAGCUUCUGGGCCAUUCCAGUUUCUGCAUUAACUAGUGACCUGUGCAGCUUAUGUAAGUGACUCAUCAUUGGGAGGAUAAAGUCACACGGCCUAGGCACUUGAAAGGCUUGUAGAGUUUGGGGGUUUUAAAUAAAUCGACUGAUCUUCAGCCCUAGCCACUAGUUGGGUGACUGCCAGGUGGGUCUGCAGGAGAGAGAUGGCGUCAUGGAUCAGUUUGGGGAGGCGUUCCAGGCGGAGAGCACGGUGCGGAAGAAAGCGUAGCCACCCGUGAGCUGCCUGGCCAGCCUGGCAGUGGAGGCUGGCAGGGGGGCUAGUACGACAGGAGACGCAGGCAGAGCUGAUCAGGAACGUGCAGACGCUGCUGGACAUAUUUACAGGGGUGAAGCUGUACCUACCGCCAUCCGUGGAGGACUUCAGCAAAAUCCGCCGGUACUUUGUGGCGUAUGACGGAGACCUUGUGCAAGAGUUCGACACCGCCUCAGCAACAC